AAAGAAACAUAGCUGAAGAAACCCUAGAUCAGCCGCACAAGUUAUUCCUCUCCUAAUCAAGGCGAUUCUCCAUCUUCACUUCGUCAUCCCUUCAUCAUCUUCAAUUUAUGACUUCUGUGUUGAACUCACACUCAAUGGCGGCCAGAAACACAAUCCUUAUGUACCGGCGUGACACCUGUUCUUCAAUCUAUGUGAUACUUGUGGUUCGAUUUAUUGAAGCAAUCUUUAAGAUUAAGAUUAUUGUUUUUGGUGGGUUAAACCGUUGAAGAGAAGCAUCAGAGGUUUUUGGUUUUUAGAGAAUAUUUCUGGUGGGUUAAAAAGCAUAACAGUUCCAGUCCUCCUAACAGGUUAGGUAUCCUAAUUUUCCGAUUUCACCCCUGUAGAGCAUCGCUUGACGGGGCGCUGCUGCUACCAAAACAAAAUUAUUAAAAGUUUUAUAUCUCAAUGAGGUAACUGUUAGUUUCAUCAAAAUGAUUUUCAAAAUUUAUAAUUUUAUUUUACAGUUUAGGAAUUGAUAUAAUUGAAAUGAAAUAGUUAGGAUUCUGCCCUUUAACCAAUAUAUAUAUAUAUAACAUGAAGAAGCUGGGGUUCCAUAUCAAUUAGCUUUUAUAGGUAAAGUAAUAAAAAAUUGAAUAUUAACUAGAAGUUAAAUAUAAGCAAUUAUUUUUGUUUCUUUAAUAGGGCUCCAUAUCAGUGAGUAUGUCCAUAUAUUUCUUGAGUUUUUGUUUCAUAUGCACUCAUUUAACAUUUGACAUUGUUAAAAUGAAUGCAAAUAUGGAUGAAAUAUAUAAAAGAACACACUUUAAUUCAGUGUUAAAUGCUACAGUUCAAGAAAUGUAAUGAUCAUUAGUAAGCAUAGGAUUUAAAUAUGUUUAUUUUAUCUAUAGUUGAUUAAUUCCUUUUUGAAGAUUACUAACGCCUACUAAUAGGAAAAAUGUUUUAAUAUGUAACGUAAAGGCUAUUUUACAAAUUGAUUUUGUAACUUUUAGGCGAUAUUAGUAACUUUGGUUUUCUUGAAUGAAACGAUUAUGAGGUUGUGUUGAAUGUACAAUUUGGAAAACGUUUGAUCUCAUUUGACCUGUUUCAUUUUUAGCCAAAAUUAUUAGAUAUUACACAUUUGGCCUGUUAGCUAACAAAAGUGCUGAUAGGAAAAUUGUUUUAAUAUGUAAUGUAAAUGCUAUUUUACAAAUUGAUUUUGUAAGUUUUAGGCGAAUUAUAUGGUUGGGAGAUCUUACUUACCUCGUUGAUUUGUCAUACGAGGAAACACGUGAUUUGAUUUCCAACAAUGCAUAGUCCAAGUUGUUAGAAAGCAGAGAUGAGCUCGGUACCAACUAGGUAGUGAAAAUCCCCUAAAAUGUGUACGGUACUGGUACGGAAAAUCCCAAAAAUGGGUGCCGGUACCAAAAAUCCAAAAGUCGGUACCUAAAAUAUUUCGGUUCGGGGUAUUCGGUCUCGGUAUUUGGUACCAUUUGCUCAUCCAUAUUAGAAAUUGAUCACGUAAGUUGUUAUGAUAUUAGUAACUUUGAUUUGACUUUCUUGAAUGAAAUGAUUAUGAGUUUGUAUGGAAUAUACACCUUAAGAUUAAGGUUCCGGAAUCAAUCUAUGAAUUUUCUUCAUUUUUCGAUUCAGUUUUUGCCAUAUAUUUGCUUCGUUUUUUGAAAUCAAUAUAUGAAUAUUAGGGUUUCUGAAACAAUCUAUUAAUAUUGGGGUUUUUUGAAAUCAACAUAUGAAUAUUAGAGUUUUCGAAAUCAAUAUAUGAAUAUCAAGCAUUCAAUGUCUUUACAUUAUAUGAAAUAUCUGGUAUAAAUAGUUGUAUUUUGUUUUUAUAUGCAUCCGUCUAAGGAUUCAACAAAAUGUAGGUCUCGUGGUGGUAGCACUUCAAACCGUGGUGCCAAAAGUGGUACAGGUCGUUAUGCUGGCCAUGGUUCUAGAUGGGGAACCUUUACCAAUAUUCGCAUUGUUAAUAAGCUAUUAAACGGGGAGUCAAGAAAAAUGAAGACACUGGCUUGGCGUUUAGAUGCUCCUAAUCUUGAAAGCUACCAUGCAAGAGUGGGGUCUUUGUAUUGCUAUUGUUACAAAUGCAUAUGUAAUGUUAACAGGGGAAGGUAGCUUUACACAUUUAUGCUUCUUGUAUAUGAGUUUGCUAAACCCAACAUCUACUUCUUGUAAUGUUAACAUUUAUGCUUGAUGACUAUUGAACCCGUAUAUUAUUGUUGCUUUUGAUUGUAAUUUAAAUUUUCCUACCCGGGUAUCUACCCGGGGAAUAACCUAGUACUAUAUAGAUACAUAUAAUUUGCUUUU